rnacentral:tRNA from 1 species
GACCGCGUAGCUCAGUUAGCAGAGCAUUGGGCUAGUAUUCCAAAGGUCGUAGGUUCGAUUCCCGCCGUGGUCA